AUUAAGAGGAAAAUCAUAUUGAAUCAAAGCCAUAAAGCCCCAGCUUGUCUGAGAGUAGGCACUAAAUCACCAUUAAUAUGAGCAGCCAUCAGAUUCUCCAAUCCUCCAAACAACUUUCCUCCUAUGAACAUGACUGGUAAGUUCUCUUUAUUAAUAACAGUUUUACCCAAAUCACUUAUGAUCAUAUCGUUAUUGUCUUCUUCGUCAAUCUCAACUACUAAUGGGUUCACGCCGUGUGUCAGUAACAACCUUUUCACCACAUGUCCCAUACAACAACCCUUCCUCGCAAACACCACCACAGCAUUCUCCAUCACCAAAACGUUAUAGCUUGAUUUCUUAGUGCUUGAAGAUGAUGGCUUUU
rnacentral:lncRNA from 1 species